rnacentral:rRNA from 1 species
UAGGGAAUCUUCCGCAAUGGACGCAAGUCUGACGGCGCAACGCCGCGUGAGUGAAGAAGGAUUUCGGUUCGUAAAACUCUGUUGUUAGAGAAGAACAGCGCAUAGAGUAACUGUUAUGCGUGUGACGGUAUCUAACCAGAAAGCCACGGCUAACUACGUGCCAGCAGCCGCGGUAAUACGUAGGUGGCAAGCGUUGUCCGGAUUUAUUGGGCGUAAAGCGAGCGCAGGCGGUCAAUUAAGUCUGAUGUGAAAGCCCCCGGCUCAACCGGGGAGGGUCAUUGGAAACUGGUUGACUUGAGUGCAGAAGAGGUGAGUGGAAUUCCAUGUGUAGCGGUGAAAUGCGUAGAUCUAUGGCGGAACACCGGUGGCGAAGGCGACUCUCUGAUCUGUAACUGACGCUGUGGUUCGAAAGCGUGGGUAGCAAACAGG